rnacentral:rRNA from 1 species
CACGUAGGGGGCAAGCGUUGUCCGGAUUUAUUGGGCGUAAAGAGCGUGUAGGCGGCCAGACAGGUCUGCUGUGAAAACUCGAGGCUCAACCUCGAGACGCCGGUGGAAACCGUCUGGCUAGAGUCCGGAAGAGGAGGGUGGAAUUCCUGGUGUAGCGGUGAAAUGCGCAGAUAUCAGGAAGAACACCCGUGGCUAAGGCGGCUCUCUAGUACGGUACUGACGCUGAGACGCGAAAGCGUGGGGAGCGAACAGG